CCCCAGACUCCUACGGGAGGCAGCAGUGGGGAAUAUUGCACAAUGGGGGAAACCCUGAUGCAGCGACGCCGCGUGAGUGAAGAAGUAUUUCGGUAUGUAAAGCUCUAUCAGCAGGGAAGAAAAUGACGGUACCUGAUUAAGAAGCCCCGGCUAACUACGUGCCAGCAGCCGCGGUAAUACGUAGGGGGCAAGCGUUAUCCGGAAUUACUGGGUGUAAAGGGAGCGUAGACGGCAGGGCAAGUCUGGAGUGAAAGCCCGGGGCCCAACCCCGGGACUGCUUUGGAAACUGCCAUGCUGGAGUGCUGGAGAGGUAAGCGGAAUUCCUAGUGUAGCGGUGAAAUGCGUAGAUAUUAGGAGGAACACCAGUGGCGAAGGCGGCUUACUGGACAGUAACUGACGUUGAGGCUCGAAAGCGUGGGGAGCAAACAGGAUUAGAUACCCCGGUA
rnacentral:rRNA from 1 species